rnacentral:lncRNA from 1 species
AAAUUCAAAGUCAGCCCCUUAAUCCCCUAUCAUUGAUCAAGUAUAGGCUUCAUCCAUGAGUGCAAGCAGCAUCUGUAUCCGGACAGGAAUAUUGUCAAUUUUACAAUAAGUGCCAAUUCGUUUGUUUUCAACAUAUUCUGCAUUCCAAAAAUAACCUCAGGAGCUGUACUCUUCUGGAGUGAAGCUAUGCUGCUGCCAAUCAGGGAUCCUGAGCUCCAUUCCACCUUUUCCAAUGCCACUACCAAUACUGACAUUGACAACCAUCCAGACAAUUGUGAAACAUAACAAAGUUGCACAAAUCUCUACCUUGAAAGUGAGCAAAAUUUGGGGAGGAGGAGCAAUA